rnacentral:sRNA from 1 species
CCUGGUUACGAGACCUAGCGAAAGAACUCCCGAAAACAUGCAGGCUUGAUGGAUUUGACAUCUCGCUGGAACAACUCCCGGAUAGUGCACGCUUCCCGUCAGAUAUAAACUACCAUGUUCAGGAUAUCUUGGCACCAUUUCCCGUCGAGUUCCUACGGCAGUACGACGUUGUUCACGUAGGCUCUUGGUCAUGGGUCUGAAGGCCGAUGAAUGGGAGCGUGCAAUUCGCAACCUUGGGAACAUUCUCCGGCCAGGAGGGUACUUACAAUGGAC